GACUGGAUAGCUCAGUUGGUUAGAGCAUUGUCCCCAUAUGCCAAGGUUGCGAGUUCAAUACCCGGUCAGGUCA
rnacentral:tRNA from 1 species